GGCCGCGGUAUUCUGACCGUGCAAAGGUAGCGCAAUCACUUGUCUUUUAAAUGAAGACCUGUAUGAAUGGCAUGACGAGGGCUUUACUGUCUCCUCUUUUUAGUCCAUGAAAUUGAUCUUUCCGUGCAGAAGCGGGAAUACCAACAUAAGACGAGAAGACCCUGUGGAGCUUCAGACUCUAAGCAGCCCCCGUAAUAAAGCCUAGUUAAUGGUUUAUAACCCUGCCUUACUGUCUUUGGUUGGGGCGACCGCGGAGAAUUACUAAACCUCCAUGUGGACCGAACUAAUCUUUUAUAACUCAGGGCGGCAGCCCUAAGUAGCAGGAUUUCUGACCAGAAAUGAUCCGGCAGAGCCGAUCAACGAACCAAGUUACCCCAGGGAUAACAGCGCAAUCCCCUUUUAGAGCCCGUAUCGACAAG
rnacentral:rRNA from 1 species